rnacentral:rRNA from 1 species
GGGUUGUGAGGUUAAGCGACUAAGCGUACACGGUGGAUGCCCUGGCAGUCAGAGGCGAUGAAGGACGUGCUAAUCUGCGAUAAGCGUCGGUAAGGUGAUAUGAACCGUUAUAACCGGCGAUUUCCGAAUGGGGAAACCCAGUGUGUUUCGACACACUAUCAUUAACUGAAUCCAUAGGUAAUG